CACUGCCGAGAAAAGCCUCUAGAUAGAAAAUAGGUGCCCGUACCGCAAACCGACACAGGUAGUCAAGAUGAGAAUUCUAAGGUGAGCGAGCGAACUCUCGUUAAGGAACUCGGCAAAAUGACCCCGUAACUUCGGGAGAAGGGGUGCUCUUUAGGGUUAACGCCCAGAAGAGCCGCAGUGAAUAGGCCCAAGCGACUGUUUAUCAAAAACACAGGUCUCUGCUAAACCGUAAGGUGAUGUAUAGGGGCUGACGCCUGCCCGGUGCUGGAAGGUUAAGAGGAGUGGUUAGCUUCUGCGAAGCUACGAAUCGAAGCCCCAGUAAACGGCGGCCGUAACUAUAACGGUCCUAAGGUAGCGAAAUUC
rnacentral:rRNA from 1 species